rnacentral:rRNA from 1 species
AUUGAACGCUGGCGGCAUGCCUUACACAUGCAAGUCGAACGGUAACAGGUCUUCGGAUGCUGACGAGUGGCGAACGGGUGAGUAAUACAUCGGAACGUGCCCGAUCGUGGGGGAUAACGAACCGAAACCUUUGCUAAUACCGCAUAAAAUUUCCGGAGGAAAGCAGGGGACCCAAAGGCCUUGCGGGAAGGGAGCGGCCGAUGGCAGAUUAGGUAGUUGGUGGGAUAAAAGCUUACCAAGCCAACGAUCUGUAGCUGGUCUGAGAGGACGACUAGCCACACUGGGACUGAGACACGGCCCAGACUCCUACGGGAGGCAGCAGUGGGGAAUUUUGGACAAUGGGCGAAAGCCUGAUCCAGCCAUGCCGCGUGCAGGAUGAAGGCCUUCGGGUUGUAACUGCUUUUGUACGGAACGAAAAGACUCUUUCUAAUAAAGAGGGUCCAUGACGGUACCGUAAGAAUAAGCACCGGCUAACUACGUGCCAGCAGCCGCAGUAACAC